rnacentral:rRNA from 1 species
AAAUUGAAGAGUUUGAUCAUGGCUCAGAUUGAACGCUGGCGGCAGGCCUAACACAUGCAAGUCGAGCGGUAGCACAGAAGAGCUUGCUCUUCGGGUGACGAGCGGCGGACGGGUGAGUAAUGUCUGGGAAACUGCCUGAUGGAGGGGGAUAACUACUGGAAACGGUAGCUAAUACCGCAUAACGUCGCAAGACCAAAGUGGGGGACCUUCGGGCCUCAUGCCAUCAGAUGUGCCCAGAUGGGAUUAGCUAGUAGGUGGGGUAAUGGCUCACCUAGGCGACGAUCCCUAGCUGGUCUGAGAGGAUGACCAGCCACACUGGAACUGAGACACGGUCCAGACUCCUACGGGAGGCAGCAGUGGGGAAUAUUGCACAAUGGGCGAAAGCCUGAUGCAGCCAUGCCGCGUGUAUGAAGAAGGCCUUCGGGUUGUAAAGUACUUUCAGCGAGGAGGAAGGCGAUAAGGUUAAUAACCUUGU